ACACACACACACACACACACAGCAGCUCACUGUGGUAUGAACCUUCCAUGAGCAAUUCCCUCCCUCCUUUUUUUUCUUCUUUUCUCUUCCAGCCAACGGGUUUUUUUUAUUCUGACGCCUCUAUAGCUUUAAUACUUCUUUCUUCUUCUGUUGCCUGGCUCAGCGACACGAACACACUCCCCCUUACUGUAAACGCUGUUUGAGCAUGGAAACUGUUUCUCGAAAAGAAAAAAUGGAUUCCUGCCGCCUUAUGUGCCCUGCAGUAACCCCUCCCCCUCCCUCCUGCCCGCACUUCUCCCCCCGUCCCACCUCGUUCUCUCAAGGUGUGCCUCCCUCAACCCAACUUGAGUACCGAGAACGAACUUUGCAUCUCGUGCGAGUGACGUUUGUGCAUCUGCGAGUGUGUUUGUCAGCGACAGGAGAAAUUUUAAAAACCGACCUUCCUGUCCCUCUUCUGUGCAUCGAUGUGGGAACUUUUAAAUCCUAGUUCAUGAACUUUGACCUUUGACCAGGCACUCAUUCAGUCCCUUGUGAUGGUUGAGAAAGGGAGGUUACGUGGGGACUCGAGAGGAGCCCUACUGUCUACACACAGUCAAUGUUUUAUUUAUGGACCUCUGCACUUUUGGCUGUGAUGACUUCAGUACUUAAGUAGUUACCUGAACUGUAUUUUUAAGGAUUUUAUACAAUAUUUACAUGCAAUACGAUAUGAAUUGAUUUUUUUUUUUUUUUUUUGCCAACCUUUUUUUUAUGUCACCUUGUUUUGUUUUCUUAUUUAAUUGUCAUUAUUUUGGCAUGAUUUGUCACUAUUAUUCACAAAACAAACAUUGCUAGGUAUAAAACAUGGAUGGGGAUGUUCCCACAAUGUUUUGUUUUUUCUGAUGACAGCUGAACACCAAGAAGAAGCAGGUGUAGGAAAAUGUUUGCUGGAUGAGCUAAACUUGAGAACGAGUCAAUUUGUUUCAGGGAACUAAACUCUGCUUUUUUUCUGUAUCCUGUCCAGAGGGGAUUUGAGUCUUUGUUUUCUACUCUUUCAUAGACGUCUUUUCCCAAACAAAAAAUGGGCCCAACAUUUUAAGUUAUUUUAACUUCAGCCUGAAGAAAUGCAUCAUAGGAAACAAAGGAGUUGGCUGGAGCUGUUCUCAGCACUGCUGCUACCGGAAGUAAAAAGGCCAUUUCUUCCCACAUACAGUGUUGAAUUACUCAUAGUUCAAGCACUUUUGCAGCUUGAAUCUACUUGAAACGCUUCCGUUUUAAUCAUCAAGUCCAAAUGAUUUAAAUACCGCUUUAAACAAACAUUAGAAUUACAACUCUGCGAGGCGAGAAACUUCCAAUCAUAAAGUUCUAUCCUAUGUGGCUAAACACGGGCAGAAACUCAUGCUGUUGGGACUGCUGAUUGUAUAAUCUCUUCAAUCGGUUCUUUUUUGGGUCCCUUUAGGAGCAAUUCUGCCAAUGUGAUGCUGCGUUCUGUAAAAAUGAAAACUGGCCACCUAUUUAACGGGGAACUUGAAUGAGUGUUGAUGGUACAUGUAAUCCGUUUGUUUUGUAUUGUUCCAGAAUGCGGAUCCCUUCCGGCGGGGUGCCGUGCCGGCUGUGCCUACGUGUACCAAUCGGUCUUCGCUCAUCGCACACUCCAAAAACUUAAAAACUCACCAGAUCCACGUUCGUCCGAACAGUGUUCCAACAAUCAUCAACGCUCAUCGAAAACAAAUCCUCAAGCCACAGAAUAAGAUGUGAGAAUAUGCCCGUCCUGUAGCUGCUCUUCCCCUCUGCCUUGCCAGCGGCUCAUUGCGACUCCAACAAAAAGAUUUUAUCUCAUCAAUAAUGUCUCCACAGCUCCGUUCUCUCCAACGACGUCACUGUCACAUCACUGGAUGCAGGAACAACACAUUUUUCAAAGAGAACAUCGGCAAGAGCUGCAGGCCUUUUUUUAUUUUUUGUUGAAUUUUUUAUUUUUUAACUCCACUGUGCCUCGAUGUGGCUCCUUCUCCAUUGCAACGACUGCUGAGGCUUAUGGGUAUUGUAGUACUCCCAGCCGCCUGCCAACCAAAAUGACAGAUAAAACACAAUUUCUCAUAAACCUGGGUUGAUAAGUUAGAAACUGGGGGCCCUAAUGUAAACCACUGUAACGGUUACGUUUUCUGUACGGGGCCCUUUUGUAAUCUAAUGUGGAGCAACAUUGAACACCGGAAAAAAAAGUGCAAAUGGGUGUAAGGAUUGCAGAGGAAUCCCCCCUGUCCCAUUUACUUUGCAACCCGUUGCUGCUUUGUUGUGUGAAACAUUUCAGCUGAGACUAUAUUAUAUAUAAUAUGUGUAUAAUACAGCAAAGGUAGAAUAUCUACUGUGUGGAUCUUUAGAGGAUGAGGAAAAAAAGCUAAAACAAAGCAGGUGGUUGCAAAUAUGUGUUGGGGGGGUGCGUGCAGACGGGAUGUAUCCUGUGUCAGUGGUCGUCAUAAUGUGUCUGUGACAAGGAUACAGGGAUGCCUGUAUUUAAAAAGGUUUGAUUCUUUUUUUUUGAAAAUGCGGGAGAAAUGUCUGAAAUGUGUUUUCUUAUAUGUGGUCCAAGAAGAACAAACUGGAUGUGCUGAACAAUUUGGUAUUUUUUGAAGAAAAGAAAACUUUGCAUUACAAUGCCACCAUGUGGCCAUAAUGAUGCAAGUUUUUAACGAGGACAAAACAUUGUUAUUUUACUGUUUAUUUUUUAUUUCUAAAUCAUAUUAUUAAUAAAGUCAUUAAGUACUGUUGUC